GGGAAGGUAGCUCAGUGGUAGAGUGUUUGCCUUGCAUGCAUGAGGCCAUGGGUUCGAUUCCUCAGUACUA
rnacentral:tRNA from 1 species